rnacentral:rRNA from 1 species
AUUGAACGCUGGCGGCAUGCCUUACACAUGCAAGUCGAACGGUAACAGGCCGCAAGGUGCUGACGAGUGGCGAACGGGUGAGUAAUACAUCGGAACGUGCCCGAUCGUGGGGGAUAACGCAGCGAAAGCUGUGCUAAUACCGCAUACGAACUACGGAUGAAAGCGGGGGAUCGCAAGACCUCGCGCGGACGGAGCGGCCGAUGGCAGAUUAGGUAGUUGGUGGGGUAAAGGCCUACCAAGCCGACGAUCUGUAGCUGGUCUGAGAGGACGACCAGCCACACUGGGACUGAGACACGGCCCAGACUCCUACGGGAGGCAGCAGUGGGGAAUUUUGGACAAUGGGCGCAAGCCUGAUCCAGCCAUGCCGCGUGCAGGAUGAAGGCCUUCGGGUUGUAAACUGCAUUUGUACGGAACGAAAAGGUUUCUUUUAAUACAGGGAACUGAUGACGGUACUGUAAGAAUAAGCACCGGCUAACUACGUGCCAGCAGCCGCCGUAA